UUGCCUUAGUAACGGCGAGUGAAGCGGCAAAAGCUCAAAUUUGAAAUCUGGCACCUUUGGUGUCCGAGUUGUAAUUUGAAGAAGUAACUUUGGGGCUGAUCCUUGUCUAUGUUCCUUGGAACAGGACGUCAUAGAGGGUGAGAAUCCCGUGUGGCGAGGAAUUCAGUCCUAUGUAAAGUGCUUUCGACGAGUCGAGUUGUUUGGGAAUGCAGCUCUAAGUGGGUGGUAAAUUCCAUCUAAAGCUAAAUAUUGGCGAGAGACCGAUAGCGAACAAGUACAGUGAUGGAAAGAUGAAAAGAACUUUGAAAAGAGAGUGAAAAAGUACGUGAAAUUGUUGAAAGGGAAGGGCAUUUGAUCAGACAUGGUGUUUUGCGACCCUAGCUCCUUGUGGGUUGGGAUCUCGCAGCUCACUGGGCCAACAUCAGUUUUGGCGGUGGGAUAAAUCCUUAGGAAUGUGGCUUGUCUUCGGAGAAGUGUUAUAGCCUAGGGGAAUACCGCCAGCCGGGACUGAGGACUGCGACUUU
rnacentral:rRNA from 1 species